rnacentral:rRNA from 1 species
AGUGAACGCUGGCGGUAGGCCUAACACGUGCAAGUCGAACGGCAGCACAGUAAGAGCUUGCUCUUACGGGUGGCGAGUGGCGGACGGGUGAGGAAUACAUCGGAAUCUACUUUUUCGUGGGGGAUAACGUAGGGAAACUUACGCUAAUACCGCAUACGACCUACGGGUGAAAGCAGGGGAUCUUCGGACCUUGCGCGAUUGAAUGAGCCGAUGUCGGAUUAGCUAGUUGGCGGGGUAAAGGCCCACCAAGGCGACGAUCCGUAGCUGGUCUGAGAGGAUGAUCAGCCACACUGGAACUGAGACACGGUCCAGACUCCUACGGGAGGCAGCAGUGGGGAAUAUUGGACAAUGGGCGCAAGCCUGAUCCAGCCAUACCGCGUGGGUGAAGAAGGCCUUCGGGUUGUAAAGCCCUUCUGUUGGGAAAGAAAAGCAGCAGGUUAAUACCCCGCUGUUCUGACGGUACCCAAAGAAUAAGCACCGGCUAACUUCGUG